rnacentral:rRNA from 1 species
GUCCUUUUGAAUUUUAUAUAAGGUCUAACCUGCCCUAUGAAUUUAUUAAAUGGCCGCGGUAUCCUAACCGUGCAAAGGUAGCAUAAUCAUUUGUCUUUUAAUUGAAGGCUUGAAUGAAGGGUUGGACGAGAUAUAAGCUUUCUUUUUUGUAAUAAGUUGAAUUUGACUUUUGAGUUAAAAGGCUUAAAUUUUAUUAUAGGACGAGAAGACCCUAUAGAAUUUUAUAAUUUUUUUUAAUUAAGUUAUUUAUUUAUUUUUAAUUUAUUUUUGGAAAAUUAUUUUGUUGGGGCGAUGGGAAGAUAUUAUUAACUCUUUUUGGUUUUUAUCAUUAAUAUAUGUAUUAAAUUUGAUCCUUUUUUAUGGAUUAUAAGAUUAAAUUACCUUAGGGAUAACAGCGUAAUUCUUUUGGAGAGUUCUUAUCGAUAAAGGAGUUUGCGA